rnacentral:piRNA from 1 species
UNGAAGCUGUAAGAAGCUUAGCCCAUGCGG